GAUGAACGCUGGCGGCGUGCCUAAUACAUGCAAGUCGAGCGAACAGACGAGGAGCUUGCUCCUCUGACGUUAGCGGCGGACGGGUGAGUAACACGUGGAUAACCUACCUAUAAGACUGGGAUAACUUCGGGAAACCGGAGCUAAUACCGGAUAAUAAAUUGAACCGCAUGGUUCAAUAGUGAAAGACGGUUUUGCUGUCACUUAUAGAUGGAUCCGCGCCGCAUUAGCUAGUUGGUAAGGUAACGGCUUACCAAGGCAACGAUGCGUAGCCGACCUGAGAGGGUGAUCGGCCACACUGGAACUGAGACACGGUCCAGACUCCUACGGGAGGCAGCAGUAGGGAAUCUUCCGCAAUGGGCGAAAGCCUGACGGAGCAACGCCGCGUGAGUGAUGAAGGUCUUCGGAUCGUAAAACUCUGUUAUUAGGGAAGAACAAAUGUGUAAGUAACUAUGCACGUCUUGACGGUACCUAAUCAGAAAGCCACGGCUAACUACGUG
rnacentral:rRNA from 1 species